AGAUGACCCCUUCGGGGUGAUUCUGGUGGAAUGAGCGGCGGACGGGUGAGUAACACGUGGGCAACCUGCCUGUAAGACUGGGAUAACUUCGGGAAACCGGAGCUAAUACCGGAUAGUAUUUCCUUUCUCCUGAUUGGAAAUGGAAAGACGGUUUCGGCUGUCACUUACAGAUGGGCCCGCGGUGCAUUAGCUAGUUGGUGGGGUAAUGGCCCACCAAGGCGACGAUGCAUAGCCGACCUGAGAGGGUGAUCGGCCACACUGGGACUGAGACACGGCCCAGACUCCUACGGGAGGCAGCAGUAGGGAAUCUUCCGCAAUGGACGAAAGUCUGACGGAGCAACGCCGCGUGAGCGAUGAAGGCCUUCGGGUCGUAAAGCUCUGUUGUUAGGGAAGAACAAGUACGAGAGUAACUGCUCGUACCUUGACGGUACCUAACCAGAAAGCCCCGGCUAACUACGUGCCAGCAGCCGCGGUAAUACGUAGGGGGCAAGCGUUGUCCGGAAUUAUUGGGCGUAAAGGGCUCGUAGGCGGUUUCUUAAGUCUGAUGUGAAAGCCCACAGCUCAACUGUGGAGGGUCAUUGGAAACUGGGGAACUUGAGUGCAGAAGAGGAGAGUGGAAUUCCACGUGUAGCGGUGAAAUGCGUAGAUAUGUGGAGGAACACCAGUGGCGAAGGCGACUCUCUGGUCUGUAACUGACGCUGAGGAGCGAAAGCGUGGGGAGCAAACAGGAUUAGAUACCCUGGUAGUCCACGCCGUAAACGAUGAGUGCUAGGUGUUAGGGGGUUUCCGCCCCUUAGUGCUGAAGUUAACGCAUUAAGCACUCCGCCUGGGGAGUACGGCCGCAAGGCUGAAACUCAAAAGAAUUGACGGGGGCCCGCACAAGCGGUGGAGCAUGUGGCUUAAUUCGAAGCAACGCGAAGAACCUUACCAGGUCUUGACAUCCGCUGACAAUCCUAGGAGACAAGACGUUCCCUUCCNGGGACACNGUGACAGGUGGGGCAUGGUUGCCUUCAGCUCCC
rnacentral:rRNA from 1 species